rnacentral:rRNA from 1 species
UACGUAGGUGGCGAGCGUUGUCCGGAUUUACUGGGUGUAAAGGGAGCGUAGGCGGACUUUUAAGUGAGAUGUGAAAUACCCGGGCUCAACUUGGGUGCUGCAUUUCAAACUGGAAGUCUAGAGUGCAGGAGAGGAGAAUGGAAUUCCUAGUGUAGCGGUGAAAUGCGUAGAGAUUAGGAAGAACACCAGUGGCGAAGGCGAUUCUCUGGACUGUAACUGACGCUGAGGCUCGAAAGCGUGGGGAGCAAACAGGAUUAGAUACCCU